CAGCAGCCGCGGUAAUACGUAGGUGGCAAGCGUUGUCCGGAAUUAUUGGGCGUAAAGGGCUCGCAGGCGGUUUCUUAAGUCUGAUGUGAAAGCCCCCGGCUCAACCGGAGAGGGUCAUUGGAAACUGGGAAACUUGAGUGCAGAAGAGGAGAGUGGAACUCACGUGUAGCGGUGAAAUGCGUAGAGAUGUGGAGGAACACCAGAGGCGAAGGCGACUCUCUGGUCUGUAACUGACGCUGAGGAGCGAAAGCGUGGAGAGCGAACAGGAUUAGAGACCCGCGUAGUCCCUGUCUCUUAUACA
rnacentral:rRNA from 1 species